rnacentral:rRNA from 1 species
AAACCAACAGGGAUUGCCUCAGUAACGGCGAGUGAAGCGGCAAAAGCUCAAAUUUGAAAUCUAGCACUUUCAGUGUUCGAGUUGUAAUUUGAAGAAGGUAACUUUGGUUUUGGCUCUUGUCUAUGUUCCUUGGAACAGGACGUCACAGAGGGUGAGAAUCCCGUGCGAUGAGAUGCCCAAUUCCAUGUAAAGUGCUUUCGAAGAGUCGAGUUGUUUGGGAAUGCAGCUCUAAGUGGGUGGUAAAUUCCAUCUAAAGCUAAAUAUUGGCGAGAGACCGAUAGCGAACAAGUACAGUGAUGGAAAGAUGAAAAGAACUUUGAAAAGAGAGUGAAAAAGUACGUGAAAUUGUUGAAAGGGAAGGGCUUGAGAUCAGACUUGGUAUUUUGCGUUCCCUUCCUUUUUGGUUGGGUUCCUCGCAGUUUACUGGGCCAGCAUCGGUUUGGAUGGUAGGAUAAUGACAUUGGAAUGUAGCUUUACUUCGGUGAAGUGUUAUAGACUUUGUUGAUACUGCCUAUCUAGACCGAGGACUGCGUCUU